UACGAAGGGGGCGAGCGUUGUUCGGAAUCACUGGGCGUAAAGCGCGCGCAGGCGGCGAUCUACGUCUGGGGUGAAAGCCCGGAGCUCAACUCCGGGACUGCCUUGGAUACGGGAUCGCUUGAGAAUUGGAGAGGCAAGGGGAAUUCCACGUGUAGCGGUGAAAUGCGUAGAUAUGUGGAGGAACACCUGUGGCGAAGGCGCCUUGCUGGCCAAUUUCUGACGCUGAGGCGCGAAAGCGUGGGGAGCAAACAGG
rnacentral:rRNA from 1 species